rnacentral:rRNA from 1 species
AUUGAACGCUGGCGGCAGGCCUAACACAUGCAAGUCGAGCGAGCGGCGGACGGGUGAGUAAUGUCUGGGAAACUGCCUGCUGGAGGGGGAUAACUACUGGAAACGGUAGCUAAUACCGCAUACCCUCAGAUGUGCCCCGAUGGGAUUGGCUCGUGGGGGGGGUAACGGCUCACCUAGGCGACGACCCCUAGCUGGUCUGAGAGGAUGACCAGCCAAAUUGGAAUGGAGAAAGGGCCCGGAUUCCUAGGGAGGGAAGAGGGGGGAAAUAUGGAACAAUGGGGGCAAGCCGGAUGAAGCCAGGCGGGGUGUGGGAAGAAGGCAUCGGGGUUGAAAAGAACUUUCAGCGGGGAGGCGUUACCCGAAGAAGAAGCACCGGCUAACUCCGUGCAAGCAGCGGCGGUAAUA